rnacentral:tRNA from 1 species
GGCGGUGUAGCUCAGGAGGUUAGAGCAGGGGUCUCAUAAGCCCCGUGUCCCGUGUUCGAGUCACGGCACCGCCA